CCUUUCUUGUCAAUGAGGUAUAAGGACCUCAUUAACCAGAAGGGGAUUUACUUGUGGUCAAUGAGAUGAUGUAAGGACCUCAUUUACCAGAAGGAUUUCCUUCUUGUCAAUGAGGUCCUUAAACCUCAUUGACCAGAAGGC
rnacentral:miRNA from 1 species